AUACAGAGGGUGCGAGCGUUAAUCGGAAUUACUGGGCGUAAAGCGCGCGUAGGCGGCUGAUUAAGUCAGAUGCGAAAUCCCAGGGCUCAACCUUGGAACUGCAUCUGAUACUGGUCAGCUAGAGUUUAGGAGAGGGAAGUAGAAUUUCAGGUGUAGCGGUGAAAUGCAUAGAUAUCUGAAGGAAUACCAGUGGCGAAGGCGGCUUCCUGGCCUAAAACUGACGCUGAGGUGCGAAAGCGUGGGUAGCAAACGGGAUUAGAAACCCCUGUAGUCC
rnacentral:rRNA from 1 species